rnacentral:lncRNA from 1 species
UAAUGGUUCGCCCUAUGCCGCCGGAGCCUUCGUAGGGAGGAAACCAUUUUUUUGGAGAGAAAAGAAUGCUUUUGCUGAUGGUGGUCGGGUACCGUCUGUCGUGAUGUGUUUCGUGAUUCAUUAUUUGAAGUGGCAUUUUGAGGUUUGUAUAUUGUUUUUCUGUGUUUGUUGAUUAAGUAUGUAAGAGUAUCUCUAAUACAAGAAAUUUAUUUAAG